rnacentral:rRNA from 1 species
UACGGGGGGGGCAAGCGUUGUUCGGAAUUACUGGGCGUAAAGGGCUCGUAGGUGGCCAACUAAGUCGGACGUGAAAUCCCUUGGCUUAACCGGGGAACUGCGUCCGAUACUGGUUGGCUUGAGUUUGGGAGAGGGAUGCGGAAUUCCAGGUGUAGCGGUGAAAUGCGUUGAUAUCGAUAGGAACUCCGGUGGCGAAGGCGGCAUACUGGAUCACUUCUGACGCUGAGGCGCGAAAGCCAGGGGAGCAAACGGGG